rnacentral:rRNA from 1 species
CCAGGAAAAGGGUUCAUCAGGGAAAGAGGGCGUAGAAUAAGCACCGGCUAACUACGUGCCAGCAGCCGCGGUAAUACGUAGGGUGCAAGCGUUAAUCGGAAUUACUGGGCGUAAAGCGUGCGCAGGCGGUUAUGUAAGACAGAGGUGAAAUCCCCGGGCUCAACCUGGGAACUGCCUUUGUGACUGCAUAGCUAGAGUACGGUAGAGGGGGAUGGAAUUCCGCGUGUAGCAGUGAAAUGCGUAGAUAUGCGGAGGAACACCGAUGGCGAAGGCAAUCCCCUGGACCUGUACUGACGCUCAUGCACGAAAGCGUGGGGAGCAAACAGGAUUAGAUACCCUGGUAGUCCACGCCCUAAACGAUGUCAACUGGUUGUUGGGUCUUAACUGACUCACUAACGAAGCUAACGCGUGAAGUUGACCGCCUGGGGAGUACGUCCGCAAGGUUGACACUCAAAUGAAUUGAC